AGUGAACGCUGGCGGUAGGCCUAACACAUGCAAGUCGAACGGCAGCACAGUAAGAGCUUGCUCUUACGGGUGGCGAGUGGCGGACGGGUGAGGAAUACAUCGGAAUCUACUUUUUCGUGGGGGAUAACGUAGGGAAACUUACGCUAAUACCGCAUACGACCUACGGGUGAAAGCAGGGGAUCUUCGGACCUUGCGCGAUUGAAUGAGCCGAUGUCGGAUUAGCUAGUUGGCGGGGUAAAGGCCCACCAAGGCGACGGACCGUAGCUGGUCUGAGAGGAUGAUCAGCCACACUGGAACUGAGACACGGUCCAGACUCCUACGGGAGGCAGCAGUGGGGAAUAUUGGACAAUGGGCGCAAGCCUGAUCCAGCCAUACCGCGUGGGUGAAGAAGGCCUUCGGGUUGUAAAGCCCUUUUGUUGGGAAAGAAAAGCAGCAGGUUAAUACCCCGCUGUUCUGACGGUACCCAAAGAAUAAGCACCGGCUAACUUCGUG
rnacentral:rRNA from 1 species